rnacentral:rRNA from 1 species
AAAGAAAGCGUAAUAGCUCACUGGUCGAGUCGGCCUGCGCGGAAGAUGUAACGGGGCUAAACCAUGCACCGAAGCUGCGGCAGCGACGCUGAUGCGUUGUUGGGUAGGGGAGCGUUCUGUAAGCCUGAGAAGGUGUGCUGUGAGGCAUGCUGGAGGUAUCAGAAGUGCGAAUGCUGACAUAAGUAACGAUAAAGCGGGUGAAAAGCCCGCUCGCCGGAAGACCAAGGGUUCCUGUCCAACGUUAAUCGGGGCAGG